GUUCGCGCUGGGCGGAGGCGGGUAGACCACCGGACUCUCGAUCCGGAAGACCGGGUUCAACCCCGGACGGGCG
rnacentral:tRNA from 1 species